ensembl:lncRNA
UGCAAAGAAACAGUCAAGGCAUUAUUUUUUGUGGGUUUUUCAUGUACAGGUACAUCUGAUGGGGCUUAUACCUCUGUCACAUCUCUGCUGUCCAGUGUUGACUCUGCUCUAACAGAGUCCCUGCAGACUCAGAUUAACAAUCUUGAGAAAACCCGUCUGAAGCAGCUUCAUAUUGCGGAGGCUCGUGUGGCUACAUCAGAGGAAAUCAAUGCUCAGGCUUUGGCUACUAAAUCUGUGAGUGUCCUAGAGCCACAUCUGAACCUCAGUUCUCUCUUAUUUGUUCACCUGCUCUCACCUUGUGUAUUAUUCAGCCUAAAAUUCGGCUACACUGCACUACAUAUGAGUGACGCUGUUUCAUUCAUUAUGGGGGACUCUUUGGUGCUUGUGAUAUGGGGAUAUAAUUAAAUGUGAAUAAUAAUCUUGUGUAUUGUUUUCUUGUGUCUCUGCAGACUAAAAAGCGCAAGAAAGUUACACAUGCCAGUACCCCUGAUGAAGAAGUCCAGCACCACACAGAGGACAGGAAGAGCAGGAACUGAACAAACGCCCUCACAUCCCAGCAUUCAGCAUUCAUGAGUUCCAGUUUAAUUCAUUCAAAUUACACACAUGUUCAUCAACAAAUGCUGUUGUCUUUUUAUUAUUAUUAUUAUUCUUUAACUUUUUUUAUGCAGUGACCCAGGAAAGUUACUACAUUGAUUUUAUAACAUUACAUGAAACAUUUGAUAAAAAUAUGGGAAUUUUCCACUGGUCCCUUGAAAUUAAGCAACAGAUGAGGUCAUCCUUGCCUCUGAUUGGUUAGUAUGAAUACCUGUUUGUUACCAAGCUUUUCCCAGCUGGGAGCAAAUUGAGAGAGAAUCUAAGGAAUAUUUAUAGCUUGGUGUGUUUGUGUAGUUACUGAACACACAUUUAUGCUUGGAUCUAUGUUUGGUAAGCAGUCAAGCUGUCUGAAUGCUGACAGAGUGGGUGUAAACUGUAUUUUUGAAAUAAGUUUUAUGUCAGAGGCACGAAGAUAUCUUGAUAUAUAAUUCAAGAUCACUAUCUUGUUUGACUCACUCGUCCAUGCAGCUGCAGACUUUCAGCAAAACGUAUGUAGGCCUUGCAGGAGCAGGGACUUUAUGAUGUGUUACUCAGCACAUAGAUUUUUUCUUCUCAGUGUUUCACCAGAGCUGGAUGUGGGUGGAAUGCAGCCAUUAGACAGGAACGAGUGGGUGCAAUGUUAGUUAACCGUUUACCGCCUUAUGGCCAUUAUAUCUUUCAUGACAUCCUAUGUUGUACAGCAGCACACAUAUCUCCUAUUUGUAUUUUUUCCUUUUAAAACCUUUGUUGUGAAAUUUGAAAAUGUCAAAUGUUAGUUAUUCUGGAAGUUAUAGUCAUACUGUGUGAUGAGAUUGAAUUAGAUUGACAGCAUUGAACAGAAACUGUCUUACUGGCCUAUAUUACACACCGAAGGUUGCAGCUGCCAGCGCGUCUGCGAUCAAAGUAUAAUGCCUCACUUCCUUUUUGAACUACAGAUUAUCUAUAGUUUUAUACGGCUUCUUUCGUAUAUUUAAUGUCUAAAUUCUCAUCAGUCAACAUUCUCAGAUGUUAUAUGUAUACGGGAGGGAUUUUUAAUGAGAU